CCGCUGCUGCCGGACGGUUCGGCGCCGCCGCUGCUGUGGGCCGCGGCCGGGGCGCUGGUCGCGGCGGUGGCGGCGGGC
rnacentral:tRNA from 1 species